AGUGAACGCUGGCGGUAGGCCUAACACAUGCAAGUCGAACGGCAGCACAGUAAGAGCUUGCUCUUACGGGUGGCGAGUGGCGGACGGGUGAGGAAUACAUCGGAAUCUACUUUUUCGUGGGGGAUAACGUAGGGAAACUUACGCUAAUACCGCAUACGACCUACGGGUGAAAGCAGGGGAUCUUCGGACCUUGCGCGAUUGAAUGAGCCGAUGUCGGAUUAGCUAGUUGGCGGGGUAAAGGCCCACCAAGGCGACGAUCCGUAGCUGGUCUGAGAGGAUGAUCAGCCACACUGGAACUGAGACACGGUCAAGACUCCUACGGGAGGCAGCAGUAGGGAAGAUUGGACAAUGGGCGCAAGCCUGAUCCAGCCAUACCGCGUGGGUGAAGAAGGCCUUCGGGUUGUAAAGCCCUUUUGUUGGGAAAGAAAAGCAGCAGGUUAAUACCCCGCUGUUCUGACGGUACCCAAAGAAUAAGCACCGGCUAACUUCGUG
rnacentral:rRNA from 1 species